rnacentral:rRNA from 1 species
UACGGAGGGGGCUAGCGUUGUUCGGAAUUACUGGGCGUAAAGCGCACGUAGGCGGAUCAGAAAGUCAGAGGUGAAAUCCCAGGGCUCAACCUUGGAACUGCCUUUGAAACUCCUGAUCUUGAGUUCGAGAGAGGUGAGUGGAAUUCCGAGUGUAGAGGUGAAAUUCGUAGAUAUUCGGAGGAACACCAGUGGCGAAGGCGGCUCACUGGCUCGAUACUGACGCUGAGGUGCGAAAGCGUGGGGAGCAAACAGG